UUAAAAAUACAAUGAGAAACUAAAUUCAUUUCAACUUUUUUAAGUUCAAUAUCUAAGAAUAGAUUGUUCUAUUAAGUUAAGGUAGAUCCAGAGAAAUACCAUAAGAAACUAAAUUGCCUAUUACUUUUUAGAAAUCCAAUAUCUUAAAAUAAACUUUGCGACACGAUUAAGAAGAUUAAGUUAAGCAAUAACUAAUUCUUAAGUGAACCACAUGGUAACUUAAUACAACUAGACUAUUAAACCAAUAAAAUUGUAAAUUUUUUAAAGAAAUAUUAAGUUGUGGAUCAUUUGAUGAUCGCAUUGUGGCAAAUUUAGAGUGGAAACAAUUUAAUAUUACCAUAUGCUCGAUUUUAUUUAUUUUUCAUCUUCGCAACGCUAAUGGGUUAAUGCAAUUUAUUAUACAACAACAGCAGUAGCAACAACAACAGCAGCAGGAGCCAAAGCGUGUCAAGUGAAAUGAAAAUGCGACUGGCGACGACCUUGAAAUCCAAAUUGUGGCACGAUGACGUCAUCCGUCAACACAAUAUCAAAACUGGCACAACCAACAGGCAAUGAAACGCGACGAGACGAGUAAAAACAGCUGUUGUAUAUACCUAAUUUCCUCAUUUUAAUGGCCACAGAAAGCGAAACCGGUUUGUCUUGUUUGUUGUUCUCCGGCCAAUAGAAGUGCGAAUAAUUAAGCAGCUGACAAAAACCAGCAGCCAAAACAACAGCGAAAACAUGCGUGUGCUUAUAUAGUAGAUUUCGGCCUAGAGACAUUCAACUUUCAUGAUUGUUUACCAUAGACAUAACUUUAGGUGUUAUACGCUCGUAGAGGAAGAAGUUAAUUAUUCAAUUAAUUAGCAGAGAAAGUCGAUAUCUACAUCAUUCUUUAUUUAGCUAUCAGGUCUUGAGAAAACAAAAAAAAAGAGUUAUUGAUGAAAUAUAACAACUGAUUUUAUAUAUCUUGCAUUUUGCAUUCAUUUUAAUACAUUUGGUUGUGUUUUUUCCUUUUUUUGUUUGUUGUAUUUGCGUGUAGAAAAGUGAACAUAAAAUCAACGUCCUUUCAUACGCUGCUCUCUCUAUAAGUGUAUGUGAGUGUCGUGUCUGUGUUUUAUAUAUAUAUAGUAUAUCUACAUAGCUACAUACAUGGUUUUGUUUACAUCAUAUUUAAUUAAACAUAAUAAAUACAUAUCUAAGCAUAUAAAUAUAUAUACGUGUGUAUAUUAAUACAAAUAUAUUUAUAUAUAUAUAGAUAUUUAACAGAUAAUACAUCCACUUGUUACGUCCACACUAAACAUUGGGCCUCCCGUCUGCCGAACGAUCCGACAGACUCAACAGUAGUACAAGUGAUACAAAAAUACAUAAUGAAUAAA